rnacentral:tRNA from 1 species
GCGGCUGUAGUUUAGUGGUAAAACCUCUGCCUUCCAAGCAGGUGUCGUCGGUUCGAUUCCGUCCAGCCGCACCA